AUGGCAAGAAAUACAGAGAAAGCCAUGCAUAGCAGAGCAAAGGAAAGCAAGGGCAAAAUAGCAGCCAAAGCCACGAGAAUCAAGAAGUCAGUGAAGAGCAGGAAAGGAAUGGAGGACUCUGGCCAGAGCUGUGCCCCUGCUUGCCACAGGAGCUGCGCGGGAGGAGAAGAAUGUGGGCCAAAAGGUAAGAGGAGCUCCUUUGGGUUCUGGGCUUGAAGCAAAGCUGAGAAGCCAUGCCCGGGAGGAGGUGUGGGUAGCUACAGGCCAGCUUGCUAUCUCCCCAAGAGAUGAGGUGUGUGGGCUAGGCACCGGGCAGGAGUGCUGGCCAGAAGCAAGCAUCUCUGUGGAGGAAGGCAAAGGGCGGAGGAGGUUCAAGGGUAGCUACCGGGCAUGGCCUUGCUCAGCAAGGGGAGGAAAAGCGUGAAGGGCACGAGAAGGGGACAGAGAAGGGCAGGCAGUAGGCGUGAAGCUGUGAGCAGAGUAGAGAGCAACUUGGCAGAGCAGCACGCAGAGUAGGCAAGUGUUGGGGUUUGGCGUGAGUAGCAGCAAAAGCCCAUAGCAUCAAGAAGCAGGAAGUGAGGAGAAGGUAAGUGAAGGGCAGGCAAGGUACUGGGAGGCAAAGGCAAGGGGAAAGGGGAGGGUAAGGGAGAAAAGAGGGGAUGGGGAGGGGAGGGGAUGGGUGAAGAGCAGAGCGGGAGGGGAAGGGCUGAGGGGAGGGCUGAAGGCAAACCUGUGAUGAAAAAAAGAAAAGAAAAAAAAAUAAGAACAAAAAAUAUGAAAAAAGAGAAAAAAGAAAAGAAAAUAAGAAAAAGAGAAAAAAUGAAAAGAAAAAAAGAAAAAUGAAUGAAAAAGAGAAAAAAGAGAUAAAAGACAAAAAGAGAAAGAAUGAACAAAAAAAGAAAAAGAGAAAAAAAAGAAAAAAAAGAAAAUAAAAAAAAAGAGAAAAAGAGAAAAAGAUAUGAAAAAAAGAAAAAAAGAAAAGAAAAAAACUAAUAGAUGAAAACAAAAAAAGCAUACAAAAAACCGAUUAAUGACAAGAGAAGAAAGGUAAAGAGAAAAGAAGAAAAAAGCCAAGUGAAAAAGUAAAGAAUAACUCAAAGGAAGGAGUGGAUGGCAAGAAAUACAGAGAAGCAUGCAUAGCAGAGCAAAGGAAA
rnacentral:lncRNA from 7 species